UUCCGGUGACUGCAGGGGUUUUCCCGGUGCUCGGUGUUUCCUCCCCGUCGGCCUUUAAACGCGAAUGUGACCCUACCACCAAAGUGGAGUGCAGUCCAGAAUCACCAAACCUGGGCUUCCAGGUGUCUGGAAACACAAUGUUAACAUUUGUUUUGCUCCAAAACAAAGUAUGACCGUGUCGGGCGUUUUAGUCCAGCCCCAAAUUUUGCCUCUGAGCAAGAUUCCCAGGACCUCAUUGGAGCAGUUUACAGCCAGUCUUAUCUCACUAUUAACUUCCAUUUUCUGCUGUAGUACUUAAAGUGACAGAAGUUACUCUUCCUAGAAGUAACUUUUCCAGACGAUUCAAACUGCUGUUAUACAGAGAUUUAAGUAUUUGUGUGCAUGUGUGAAAACAGAGAUAUGUAAUGUAUAUAUUUCAUUUUAUUUCCACUGUUCUGCUUCUCUUUUUAAAAAUAAAGCGGUCUCCUCCACUUUGGGUAAAUCUUUCAGCACAUUUGAUCAAAGUGACAACUGGAUUCCCAUAUUUGCUUAUGCAUUCCACCUGUUGUGAUAUAUUAUUUUGGCUGAAGUACAUGAAGAAAAUUUGACCCCACACGGACAUGUAGUAGGAAAAAGGAAGAGUAUUUUAAUAGCCUCUUCAGAUAACUGUG
rnacentral:lncRNA from 1 species